CUUAUAGAUAAAAAAAAAUUAUUUAACAAUAAAUUAUUUUAAGAAAUUAAACUGCUAAAAAAAUUAUUCUACUCAAUAUGCAAAACUCAAAAAUCAUCUAAAGACUUAGAAAUGGAUUUUGCCUUAUUUGUGUAGACAAUUGGACCUGACGUCAUCUGUGAGCCUGGCAAGACAUGAUGCAGCAUAUAGAAGUUUAGGCUCAGUGAAAAGCCAAUCAAAUACAUCUUUUGAAGCCACUUAGCCCAUCCCACAGAAGGACAAGGUUAUCAAGAUAGGGUAAGUAAAGCUGAUCGCUGCAACAGAAAUAUAUUCUUCUAGUGUUGGCACAUAAUCACCGUUGAACCACCUUGCUUCAGUGAUAUAGACUCUCACUUGCUUCUUCACCUGCAAAUUAAUUGAAAGGACAGAGAUUACAUACCCUUAACAAAACCAUGAUAAUUUUAUUAAGAUAUGCUAAGUUAUAUAUUUUAUACUUACACUCUCCAUAAAUAAUAAAAAAAAGGAAAAAAAAAUUACUUUGACUUGAUCCAUCCUUAUCAUUCAAUACACAAAUAUGUGAGGUUUACUUUUUUUAAUAAGCUCCAUAAUUUUACAAGUAGGUUCCACCAAGCAUAUGUUAGUAGUAUGCCCUAGAGCA
rnacentral:misc_RNA from 1 species